rnacentral:rRNA from 1 species
GCUCAGGAUGAACGCUAGCUACAGGCUUAACACAUGCAAGUCGAGGGGCAGCAUGGUCUUAGCUUGCUAAGGCCGAUGGCGACCGGCGCACGGGUGAGUAACACGUAUCCAACCUGCCGUCUACUCUUGGACAGCCUUCUGAAAGGAAGAUUAAUACAAGAUGGCAUCAUGAGUCCGCAUGUUCACAUGAUUAAAGGUAUUCCGGUAGACGAUGGGGAUGCGUUCCAUUAGAUAGUAGGCGGGGUAACGGCCCACCUAGUCUUCGAUGGAUAGGGGUUCUGAGAGGAAGGUCCCCCACAUUGGAACUGAGACACGGUCCAAACUCCUACGGGAGGCAGCAGUGAGGAAUAUUGGUCAAUGGGCGAGAGCCUGAACCAGCCAAGUAGCGUGAAGGAUGACUGCCCUAUGGGUUGUAAACUUCUUUUAUAAAGGAAUAAAGUCGGGUAUGGAUACCCGUUUGCAUGUACUUUAUGAAUAAGGAUCGGCUAACUCCGUGCCAGCAGCCGCGGUAAUACGGAGGAUCCGAGCGUUAUCCGGAUUUAUUGGGUUUAAAGGGAGCGUAGAUGGAUGUUUAAGUCAGUUGUGAAAGUUUGCGGCUCAACCGUAAAAUUGCAGUUGAUACUGGAUAUCUUGAGUGCAGUUGAGGCAGGCGGAAUUCGUGGUGUAGCGGUG